UGGGGAAUUUUGGACAAUGGGCGAAAGCCUGAUCCAGCAAUGCCGCGUGUGUGAAGAAGGCCUUCGGGUUGUAAAGCACUUUUGUCCGGAAAGAAAACCUUGGCUUUAAUACAGCCGGGGGAUGACGGUACCGGAAGAAUAAGCACCGGCUAACUACGUG
rnacentral:rRNA from 1 species